UACGGGAGGCAGCAGUGGGGAAUAUUGCACAAUGGGCGAAAGCCUGAUGCAGCUAUGCCGCGUGUAUGAAGAAGGCCUUAGGGUUGUAAAGUACUUUCAUCGGGGAGGAAAAAACAAAACUAAUAAUUUUAUUUCUUGACGUUACCCGAAAAAGAAGCACCGGCUAACUCCGUGCCAGCAGCCGCGGUAAUACGGAGGGUGCUAGCGUUAAUCAGAAUUACUGGGCGUAAAGAGCACGUAGGUGGUUUUUUUAAAGUCAGAUGUGAAAUCCCCGGGCUUAACCUGGGAAUGGCAUUUCAAGACUGGUUAGCUAGAGUCUUGUAGAGGGGGUUAGAAUUCCAUGUGUAGCGGUUGAAAUGCGUAGAGAUGUGGAGGAAUACCGGUGGCGAAGGCGGCCCCUGGACAAAGACUGACGCUCAUGUGCGAAAGCGUGGGGAGCAAACAGGGAUUAGAUACC
rnacentral:rRNA from 1 species